CCGCCCACCGCUGGGGCCAUGGCGCCGGCCCGAGCCGCUGUCCACCUCGCCCUCUCCUCCUCAUCCUGAUCUGGAACGCCGGCAGGGGCAUCGCCGCCCGGCCCGAUUCCGCGUGUGGGGCGUGGACUCGGACCCCCUCGACUACCUCAGCGGGGCAAGCGGCUGGUCCUCCGGAGUUGGAGUUCUCCUGAUCCGUUCAGAGGUUCGAGCCUUGGAUUCAUUUAUGUGUCUCCAGAAAUAUUAUCCUCGUGGUCUCAGAUUAAUAAUGCGAGGAGAUAGUAGGCUGCCAGCAAGAAGCGGCGACGGGAGUGAAUGAGUGAAACUAAUGUGUUUCUCCUUUUUCUCUUACCUGUUCAUGUUAUAAUCUUUAUACUGGAUCUUCGUGUAGGAAGUUUUGGAUAACAAAGUCAGCUACAUAGAGGAUGCCAAUGUUGUCCUAACUCAUCAGGAGACUUCUCUUAAAGAAAGAUCAAGUGGGCUGCAGGAAACCAACAAAGCACCGCUGGAGCCGGAUGGCAAGAGUUGCGAAGAAAAACAUGUUGCCUACAGGGAUUGCAGCUAUGUUGUGGGGCAUUUCCAAAAUGAAUGGCCUCAUGAACCAGAACCAGUUGGGAUUAUUCUCUCUAAAAUGCACGAGAGCUGCUUCGGUGGGGUUGCAAGACUUCUUCAACAUCGGGGCUGCAAAAAAGGGAUGGGCGCCAUGGAUCCCAAGCCUCCAACUCUAGAGGAUGUGGAGAAGGAUAGAACAGUUCAAGGCGGGCCAAGAGGUUUCAGUUUAUUUGAGCUGCUUUUGUUUUUUGAAAACUGCAAUGUGUUGUUGCAAAAAGUAUUUUUCUUGUCGGUCUGUUGCGGUCUCUUUGGUCUGUUUGUGGCUAUCAGUAGAUUUUAAGCUCGGAGGUAGUCGCCGAGUCAUUUCAAGUCAAGGUGGAGUUUUAAUGUCUUGAAAUAUCAUUGUGAUAUUUUGUAUACGCUUGAAUUUUUACAUGGAUUAUGUGCGGUACUUGAUUUCACAUGCAUUAUGUGUGGUAAAUUACUGUAUAUGGGAAGCAAGCGCAACGUGAUAAUUGUUGCAACCAGUCAUAAGCCACGAGCCAUGUAGUCGUUUGUGAACUAUAAUGAUUUUUUAUUAGUGUUUA